UACGUAGGGUGCAAGCGUUGUCCGGAAUUAUUGGGCGUAAAGAGCUCGUAGGCGGUCUGUUGCGUCGGCUGUGAAAACCCGAGGCUCAACCUCGGGCCUGCAGCCGAUACGGGCAGACUAGAGUUCGGCAGGGGAGACUGGAAUUCCUGGUGUAGCGGUGAAAUGCGCAGAUAUCAGGAGGAACACCGGUGGCGAAGGCGGGUCUCUGGGCCUGUACUGACGCUGAGGAGCGAAAGCGUGGGGAGCGAACAGG
rnacentral:rRNA from 1 species